rnacentral:rRNA from 1 species
GAUGAACGCUGGCGGCGUGCCUAAUACAUGCAAGUCGAGCGAACAGAUGAGGAGCUUGCUCCUCUGACGUUAGCGGCGGACGGGUGAGUAACACGUGGAUAACCUACCUAUAAGACUGGGAUAACUUCGGGAAACCGGAGCUAAUACCGGAUAAUAUAUUGAACCGCAUGGUUCAAUAGUGAAAGACGGUUUUGCUGUCACUUAUAGAUGGAUACGCGCCGCAUUAGCUAGUUGGUAAGGUAACGGCUUACCAAGGCAACGAUGCGUAGCCGACCAGAGAGGGUGAUCGGCCACACUGGAACUGAGACACGGUCCAGACUCCUACGGGAGGCAGCAGUAGGGAAUCUUCCGCAAUGGGCGAAAGCCUGACGGAGCAACGCCGCGUGAGUGAUGAAGGUCUUCGGAUCGUAAAACUCUGUUAUUAGGGAAGAACAAAUGUGUAAGUAACUAUGCACGUCUUGACGGUACCUAAUCAGAAGGCCACGGCUAACUACGUG